rnacentral:rRNA from 1 species
UACGUAGGGUGCGAGCGUUGUCCGGAAUUACUGGGCGUAAAGAGCUCGUAGGCGGUCUGUCGCGUCUGCUGUGAAAACUCAGGGCUUAACCCUGAGCUUGCAGUGGGUACGGGCAGACUAGAGUGCGGUAGGGGAGACUGGAAUUCCUGGUGUAGCGGUGAAAUGCGCAGAUAUCAGGAGGAACACCGGUGGCGAAGGCGGGUCUCUGGGCCGUAACUGACGCUGAGGAGCGAAAGUGUGGGGAGCGAACAGG